UACGUACGGUGCGAGCGUUAAUCGGAAUUACUGGGCGUAAAGCGUGCGUAGGCGGUCCCGCAAGUCCGCUGUGAAAGCCCCGAGCUUAACUUGGGAACUGCAGUGGAAACUAUGGGACUUGAAUCCGGCAGAGGGGGGUGGAAUGCCACGUGUAGCAGUGAAAUGCGUAGAGAUGUGGCGGAACACCGAUGGCGAAGGCAGCCCCCUGGGCUGAGAUUGACGCUCAGGCACGAAAGCGUGGGGAGCAAACAGG
rnacentral:rRNA from 1 species